rnacentral:rRNA from 1 species
AAUCAAGCGAAUAAGGGCUUAAGUUGGAUACCUAGGCAUUCAGAAGCGAUGAAGGGCGUGACUACCGACGAAAUGUUUCGGGGAGCUGGAAGUAAGCUUUGAUCCGGAAGUACCCGAAUGAGGAAACUCUUAAAACUACAUAUCGAACACAUACGUAUGUAAGAGCGAA